UACGGAGGGGGCUAGCGUUGUUCGGAAUUACUGGGCGUAAAGGGCGUGUAGGCGGCUUGCCAAGUCAGGCGUGAAAGCGCCGGGCUUAACCUGGGAACUGCGUUUGAGACUGGCAGGCUAGAGGUGGGAAGAGGAGAGUGGAAUUCCCAGUGUAGAGGUGAAAUUCGUAGAUAUUGGGAAGAACACCGGUGGCGGAGGCGGCUCUCUGGUCCACACCUGACGCUGAGGCGCGAAAGCGUGGGGAGCAAACAGG
rnacentral:rRNA from 1 species